rnacentral:lncRNA from 1 species
AUGGGGAGUUGGCGCCUCACCAACGCGCCCUGGGGCAAUGCCAGGGCCCAGGAGCCUCUGCAAAGCCUUUGUGGAGAAGGUGUCAGCGAGAGUGCCAACCAGGCCUUCCUGGUGAGUGCGGGGGCCUGAGGCCUGUGGGACCAGGACAGGGAUCGUGACUAAGGAUGGCAGGCACUAAGUGUCGCAUGGCCCUGCCUCCGCCCCCCAGGGCUUCACAUACGUGGCGCCGUCUGUCCUGGACAGCAUCAAGGAGGGUGAGAGAAAGGUUCAGCCUCUGCCAUACUCCUCUUAGGUCUCACCUCUUCCCUGGGGCCAAUGUGGGGCCCUCCUUAGCUCCACAGGCCCAGACAUUCUAGCCCCGACCGCCUGUGGCCCCCAUCCCAAGAACCCAGGGGGCUCCGAGGCUCACCAUUGGUCCGCAGGCCCCUCCGUGCCGGGCACCCACUUCCAGCUCUGG